GAUGAACGCUAGCGGCAGGCCUAACACAUGCAAGUCGAGGGGUAGAGUUCUUCGGGACUUGAGACCGGCGCACGGGUGCGUAACGCGUAUGCAAUCUACCUUAUACAGGGGAAUAGCCCCAGAGAAAUUUGGAUUAAUGCCCCAUAGUGUUAUCGAAUCGCAUGGUUUGAUAACUAAAGUUCCAACGGUAUAAGAUGAGCAUGCGUCCCAUUAGUUAGUUGGUAAGGUAACGGCUUACCAAGACAAUGAUGGGUAGGGGUCCUGAGAGGGAGAUCCCCCCACACUGGUACUGAGACACGGACCAGACUCCUACGGGAGGCAGCAGUGAGGAAUAUUGGUCAAUGGGGCGCAAGCCUGAACCAGCCAUGCCGCGUGCAGGAAGACGGUCCUAUGGAUUGUAAACUGCUUUUUAUACAGGAAGAAACCCUCCCACGUGUGGGAGCUUGACGGUACUGUAGGAAUAAGGAUCGGCUAACUCCG
rnacentral:rRNA from 1 species